ACAUACACUGCAUACACUAACAACACACACUGCAUACAAUAACACACACAUACACUGCAUACACUAACACACACAUACACUGCAUACAAUAACACACACAUACACUGCAUACACUAACACAACACACACACUGCAUACAAUAACAGACACAUACACUGCAUACACUAACACACACACAUACACUGCAUACACUAACACACACAUACACUGCAUACACUAACACAACACACACACUGCAUACACUAACACACACAUACACUGCAUACACUAACA